rnacentral:lncRNA from 10 species
CUACAACAAAUCAUAUUUUCCCUGCUUGUCUCUAAAGCAAGUCAUUUUGUCCGGAGGUUCAGCCACCUCUCUUGUCAAGGCACAGCAGGGGCUGUUGCUUGCCUGGGAACCCUGCCAAAGCUGUAACAGCACUCAAUUCACCUAGCAGGGGCCACCUGCUUCAGGGGCAUUGUGGACCAGUCCUCUGGACACUAGUUUUUGGAAGAAGGGACUUGACAGCCCCGGUGAGUGGUGAGAUUGAGUGGCACCAGGUGGACUGCUUGCCUGAGGCCGCUCACCCCAUGCAACUGCAAUUCCCAAGCCUUUUCCCUGGAUGUCAGCCUCUAUCCACAGCGAGGUGUCUCUUGAAAAUGGCUAUAAAACUUCUUGUCAAAUUGGAGUACUUUGGAAUAUUUAGGAAAAGUUGGCAGAGAGGAGACAGGACUAAAGUGCAGCUCCCACUUGGAUGAACUGAACAGUGUGUGGAGACUCACAUUGUGAAUUUUUGCUCCAAGAACUACCUCAGGAACAUACCAGAAAAACCAAAAGAAUUCACAGACCCUUUGAAAAAAGUGGCUUGCCAGUGCAAACUCCAUGAGACAGCUGAAAAACUGUGCUCUCUGUACACAGAGGGUUUUGUCUGUUUGGUCACCGAUAUAUCUUCAGUGCCCAGAACAGUGCAUGGCAAUGGCAGACUCUCAACUGAUGGUUUAAAGAGGUUGUCUUUUCCAAGGCCCAUCACCUGCUUCACAGAAUUUUCAGCUCUUUUGACAAUUUCCAAGACAAGGGAUGAGUUCCAGCCACCAUGUCAUGAGGAGACCCUGGAUACCCCAGCUCAGAGCCUAGAGGCAUUCAUCAAGAUCAACAUACCUGCCAAGGCAAACCCUGUGAGCCCUGUGACUGGCCAUGUGGACUCGACAUCCUCCUUGUCCGCCGUCCACUCACUUGCAAACUGGUGUCAAUGAAGGUAACAUUUUGUGGUAAUGGCAACCAUAUGGGCUGGUGACUGCUGUCAGUAAAAAUAGCCCACAUGGCCUGUGUGGCCAGACACAACGUCAAGCUAAGAGAAGGAGACAGAAAGCUGUGUGAAGGAAAGAAAAAAAAAUAGUUUUAAAAGACUGGAGACGGAAGCCUGCCUGACUGUGAAGGAGGUUUCAGGGAGCUGAAACAUGCAGCCAAGCUGGGCUCAUCAACAGCAGAGACAUUUGCAUGAAACACCAGCCCUCCCCAGCCUGGCCUUCCACACUCUCAUGCCCCAGAUGAGAGGGGAUAGAAACAGGAUUCUAUCUGGGAACAGAGCCGAAGCUCAGCACAUGUACACAUCUCUGGGAUGUGUACAGAAUCUUCUCCUACCUAACCAACCCAGUAGAGAGCAAGGAGUUAGGGCCAGAAAUUUUAAACAACAACAACAACAACAAAAAAACCUAAGCAUAUAUUUUCAGUUCCUUUAAAAAUGUAUUAUGUUUUGUAGCAUAAUAGAAACAACGUGAAUUUGCAAAUUGCCAGACCUGAUUUGACUCUCACAAUAUGCUACUGAAUAAACACAAGCAAAUUACUUAAUCUCUAAAACCUUCGGUUUAUUCGUUUGUAAAAUGGAGAUAAUGUAACCAAUAGUUAUUAUGAGGAGUACAUGAGCUGAUGUUCCUUACACUUAAUAGAAUGUCCUACUCAUUUAUUCACUCAUUCAACAAAUACUUAAUAAUUGCCUUCUAGGGCCAAGCACAGUUACAGAGGAAUAAGUGAGUGCAUAAAACGAAAUGGCAGUUUUCAUGGGGUUUAUAUUCUAGUUGUAAGUGGAACACGUAGAAUGUCAGAAGAUGAAAAGUGCUGUGGAUAAAAAUAA